GACGAACGCUGGCGGCGUGCUUAACACAUGCAAGUCGAACGGUAAGGCUUUGUUUUUGUGGCGUGUUCGUGUGCCGCACGCGUGUGUAUCACGUGUGUAACCUCUCCUUUACUUUGGGAUACCUUCUGUAAACUCGGGCUCUUAUCCGAUAUGAACUCCUUCUACAUGGUUUGUGUUUUAAAGAUGUGGCGUUUCAGGAUUGACUUGUGGCUUAUCAUCUUAUUGGUGGGGUAGUGGAUUACCAAGGCUGUGACGGGUAGCCGGACUGAGAGGGUGACCGGCCACAAUGGGACUGAGAAACGGGCCAGAGGGAUACGGGAGGCAGCAGUGGGGAAUAGUGCAAAAAGGGCGGAAGCAUGAUGCAGGAACGCCGGGUGGGAGAUGACGGCUGGCAGGUUGGAAAGCGCGUGAGCCUGGGAAGAAGAGUAAGUGACGGUAACGGGUAAAGAAGCAACGGCUAACUACGUG
rnacentral:rRNA from 1 species